rnacentral:rRNA from 1 species
UACGGAGGGGGCGAGCGUUAUUCGGAAUUAUUGGGCGUAAAGGGCGCGUAGGCGGCCCGGUAAGUCAAAGGUGAAAUCCCUCGGCUCAACUGAGGAACUGCCUUUGAAACUGUCAGGCUUGAGGCCGGGAGGGGGUGGCGGAAUUCCCGGUGUAGUGGUGAAAUGCGUAGAUAUCGGGAGGAACACCAGUGGCGAAGGCGGCUUCCUGGCCCGUUCUUGACGCUGAGGCGCGAAAGCUGAGGGAGCAAACGGGG